rnacentral:lncRNA from 1 species
AUUAAAUUUAACGAAAAGUGCAAAUUCAUAUAGUAUUUAUUUAAACAUUCUGGAUAUAAAUACACAGGUAUAUAAUUAUAUUUAUGCACACUAUUAUCAAUAAAUAUAUAAUGGAAAUGAUGCAAUAUGUGUGUGUGUGUGUGUAUGUAUUAUUGAGAUAAUAUACUAUUGGUUAUGAUAUAUAACUAUUCAGAAUGUUACCAUCAGUUUUGUGUUCAAUAUUGAUGACUAUUCCAACAUUCUGGCUGGAAGUGCAUAGUCUCAGUAGGCUAGCGUUAUAUACACCUGGCCAACCUGUCUUUAGAGUUGCUAAUAUUGUCCUGUAGUAAGGUAGCGAGUGAGCUGCCAGAAUUGUUACUGUGCUGGACAAAAUGCUUAGCAGCAUUUCUUCCAACCUUGUGUUCCGAGGUGGACUUUGCCUUUCUUCCUUUCAGGGUUAAGAUAAGCACCAGUUGAACACUGGGGUUUAUGUAAUCUACUUAGCCCCACUCCUGUAAUUGGUGGCUUUGUGUGAAAAUUUGAAACCAAUAUUUGGUGAGAAACUGAUGGCAACAUUCAGACCAAUAAUAUCCCAUAGCCAGUAAUAAAUAUAUUGUUUGAGGAUAUAAAAAUAUAUAUCUGUCCUAUAAUGUUGAGUGUGCUUUUAUUUCUGACAUAUGGACUAACUGGAAAUACAUAGAAACUUACAUAUAUACAUACUAUGUAUGUACAUACAUACAUGCAUACAUACAUACAUAUAUACAUACACAUACAUACAUACAUAUAUAUAUAUACAUAUAUAUAUAUAUGUACAUAUAUGUGUAUGUAUACAUACACAUAUAUUUAUGUAUGUGUGUGUAUAUGUAUAUAUAUAUAUCACAUGCACACACACACACACACAUAUAGUGCUGUAUCAUGCAAACAUUCUAAUAUAGUAACUGAAUAAUGGUGGUAUGAAAAAUUGUUUUCUAUUUAGCAAUGUAAGGUGUUUUCAUUUUGUAUGUUUUUGUUCAGAAUUUUAGUUUUAUAUGGUUUAUUUCCUGUCUAUACACAUAUGUAAGUGUGCAUGUAUGUAUUUAUGUAUGUACAUACAUAUGUGUGUGUGUUGUUGGCCAAUGAUCCAGAGAACAAGUAUUCAGUAUAAAUUUGGAAUGCAACAGAUUAAGCUAAUCAAGUGGCCUGUUACACUGGAGUUGUGAGGGCGCGUGGCUUAGUGGUUAGGGCAUUCGGCUCAUGAUCGUAAGGUUGUGAGUUCGAUUCCCGGCGACGCGUUGUGUCCUUGAGCAAGACACUUUAUUUCACGUUGCUCCAGUCCACUCAGCUGGCAAAAAUGAGUUGUACUUGUAUUUCAAAGGGUCAGCCUUGUCACUCUCUGUGUCACGCUGAUUAUCCCCGAGAACUACGUUAAGGGUACACGUGUCUGUGGAAUGCUCAGCCAUUUGCACGUUAAUUUCACGAGCAAGCUGUUCCGUUGACCGUAUCAGAUGAGACCCUCGUCGUCGUAACCGGCAGAGUCUUUACACUGGAGUUACCAUGGCAUUCCACUGCUUCUUCAGAAAUGUCAAACUGUUACCACUGUAGAAACUCCAGAGCAAGAAACCAUUAGAUCAGCUUAAAUAAACAAAAAAACACUACAGGUGUUUGUGUGUAUGUGUGUAUGUGUGUAUGUGAGUGCGUGUGUGUGUGUAUGUAUGUAUGUGUGUGUAUAUAUAUAUAAUUUUAUUUAUGCGCCCUUUUCAAGCCUAGGUUCAUGGGCCCGGUUUCCUGGUUUCUGUGGCGUAUGUAUUCCCCCCAGCUGGAUGGGAUGACAGUCCAUCACAGCAUUACUCAAGAAACAGGAAGAGAGAGUGAGAGAAAGUUGAUGCUGUUGACACUGUUGGAUGAUGUGGUGUUGCUUUUGAUGCUGAAACCAUGAAGAUCCUCGAACAAGCAGCUGAAGAUAGUGUAUUAUAUUUUUAUAUAGCGUCUGCUUUUUUUCUUUUACAUUGUUGUCUCUAUUCUUUGUCACUGUUGAUAGUUCCACAACUAAUUUCAGAGAUUUUGUUGUUUCAUCCAAGGGGUUGUUAGAGUAUUGUCAAGAAGCUGUUUGUGAUGGGUGAUAGAUUUUUGUAAGGAUAGUUUUGUUUGGGGCUUUUCUUGUUUAUAACAGAUGCGAGGUAUAUACAUAUGUAUGUAUGUAUGUAUGUAUGUAUGUAUGUAUAUUUGUAUAUAUCCAUAUAUAUAUAUUUUGAAAACAGCUUUUUAUAUCCCCACUAUUCACACACACACACACACACACACACACACACAUUUGUAUGCAUAUUUAUGAGGUUAAAUGCAAAUGAGCUAAGUGAAAUAAUGCUAAUUGUUCUGUGGCAUGGAUAUAUACAGCAAAAGCAAAUAAUGGUAGAAAUACUAAAAUACUAUACAAUGAGAUUCUUGAUUUAUUGAAAUUAUUUUUUCUUAGAGAGAAGAAUAAGCAAAUGUCUUUUUGCCAGCCAUGACUCAUUGUAAAUGAAAUGGGAAAAAUAAUCUAAAGAUUCAAGAAUCCUUCAAAAUUGAUAUGCCAUUAAGGAGAGGACACUCUGUCUAGAGGAAAUAUGUAGGCACUGUUAAAGGUGUCAUGAUGACAGCAGUCAUCAAAUCCAGCAGAUGAAAUACUUAGACAAAUACAAAAAGAACGGAACAUAUUUAUGGCUUAUGUUAAUAUUCAUGAUGCAAGUGAAAUGUGCUAAGAGAAAUAACUCAGAGUGGCAUGGAUAUAAACAAUGAAGACAAAAAGAGUUAUAUAUAGAUAUAUUUUUUCUUUACAUGUUUCAGUCAUUUGACUGCGGCCAUGCUGGAGCAACGCCUUUAAUCGAGCAACUCUACCCCGGGACUUAUUCUUUGUAAGCCCAGUACUAAUUCUAUUGGUCUCUUUUGCCGAACCGCUAAGUGACGGGGACGUAAACACACCAGCAUCGGUUGUCAAGCAAUGCUAGGGGGACAAACACAGACACACAAACACACACACAUACAUAUAUAUAUAUAUAUAUAUAUACGACGGGCUUCUUUCAGUUUCCGUCUACCAAAUCCACUCACAAGGUUUUGGUCGGCCCGAGGCUAUAGUAGAAGACACUUGCCCAAGGUGCCAUGCACUGGGACUGAACCUGGAAUCAUGUGGUUGGUAAACAAGCUACUUACCACACAGCCACUCCUGCGGCGAAUAUAUUUUCAAAUAAGAAUUAGGUUCAUUCUUUCAUUACCCAUAUAAUGAUGCAUAUUUCCAGUUUUUUAAACAUUUAACAAACAAAAGACAAGUUUCUCUCUCUGCAUUUGAUACUUGUUUAUUACAGGUAAUUUUUAUCCCCUUAACUUCUCUCUGUGAGAAGUGAUUCGGAAUUGAAUCUGCUACUCAGAGUCUCACAAGAAUAUGUUCAGCUUAUAAUCACUCAAAUAACAACAGAUGAGCUGGCAAUCAGAUAAUUUAUCCACUGGUCAUUUUGCUAAUACAAAGAGAAACAAUUAAAAAUUACUUUAAUUAAAAUGUUAUUUAGAUUGCAAAACAAAACUUUCAUAUUCUCAUGUUUGAAAAAUAUAUCAGUUUAUAUAUAUACAUGCACACACAUAUAUAUGUCACUGUAUGCAUAUAUAUCUAUAUCUACAUAUAUAUAUAUAUAUACAUACAUACAAGUGUGUAUUUGUGUGUGUAUUUUCAAACUACCUCAUUUGUUAUGAAGAAAGCACUUCUUUAAUCUUAGUUUUAUUAAUUAUUGGCUAUAUAUGGCAAUCUAUAAAAUCCUAAUAACCCUUUAAUUUUUCAUUGUGGUAUGUGCAAUAUCAAAACAUUAUCUUCUCUGCUUUUCUAUAGAUUACAUUCUGAUAAAAGUAAUUUUAUUUUCAUUAAUAUAUAUUUUUUAUUAUGGUGAGUUUUUUUUUUAUAAUACAGUAACUUUGAGAAAUAAAUCUGUGAUCCAGUUUUGUUUCCCAUUUGAAAUUUCUUUAAUUAUGUUAUUAAUGCCUCUCAGAGAGGCAUUAACAUCAGAAAUUCCCAUAUUCCACUUUUUAUUUUUUAUUAUUUUCAAAAAUCUAUAUUAAGUGUAAAUUGUACUUUACAUUUAGUUCUAUGACCUGAGAUUGCUAGUUCUGAAAUGAAAAUGUGUCUGCUUGGCAAAUUACUGGAAGUUGAUUGAAUCAUGAUGUAUUUGUUACAAGGAGAGUUAUUUUGAUUGUUUCCAUUUAUUCUGAAUAUUUCUAUUACUGGUCCUGGAGCACUGCAAAGAUAACAAUUAAGUGUAAAUCAGACAGCUAUAUGAAUGUACUGCCAAAGAUGGAAUAAAUUUUGAUUAUUUAUCAACAAUAUCCUAUUUUUUGAAAUUUAUUUAAAAAAAUUUAUGUUUAAUUCAUUGAGAAAAUUUCACUCUUCAAAAAAAGUGCAAAUAGGCCCAAAUGUGCCACCUGUUUUAAAGCCAUCAGCCCAGCAUUGAAGAUAACAUGAUUUGACAUGCUCAUUCUGACUGUAUUUUUCCUUGUGUAGUGUCACUCUUAGUCAGAAGAUAUAAGUGGAAAAGACUACAUAGUGGAUACCAAAGGCCAGAGAGGACCAGGAUGCAGCUACAUUGGUAACGCCUUAAUAAACUGCUCUAUUAAUUGAUAGCCAUGCAUUCCUUCUUUUCCUUCAGAAAGCACAAAAUUCCAAGACACUCACUGCAACCACCAACUUCUUAUAGACAUCAAAGUGGCAGUUUCCAAUGACUCCUGAUUUCUAGUUUCAUUUACCUCUUUAAUAAAGAAUUACACAAAUAAGAAAGUGCUGCAACUCUGGAAUUAAAAGAAAUCUUCUUGAUAAUUCUCCCUCCCCUAUGCUAACAUUUAUGCACUAUAAAGGCGCAGGAGUGGCU